rnacentral:rRNA from 1 species
AUGUCGCGAGAUCGGUUUCGGUACAUACUCCUCAACCUCGCCCGUGGUCUCCCGCGAGGUGUUCGGUUCGGUGGUGGCCUUCGGUGUCUCACCUUGGUUGGCGAGACCGCGGCUUUCUCGACAUCAUUGUUCUCCUGGGAGGUCGGCUCACUGUCAAACCCUCAUGAUCAGAGAGCGAGAGUAGAUCGGUCUUGUCGAUGUUGUAGCCCAAAAUUGUCUCGUCGAGGAGACAAUCUUCUGGUGUGUGGUCGAUGUGACAGUUGUCGCAGACUAUGGCGACAAACUGUAUGUUCUGGGGGGGUUGAUGGAGCUCCUACUGGUACGCAGCUCCCGGGUUCCAUAGUCCGAACGGGAAGAGGCGACCUAGGCAAGAUGGCAAGGUCAUCGAGAUCGGAAAGUUGUCCUGAGCCUCGGGAUUGA